rnacentral:rRNA from 1 species
CGCCAGACUCCUACGGGAGGCAGCAGUGGGGAAUAUUGCACAAUGGGGGAAACCCUGAUGCAGCGACGCCGCGUGAGUGAAGAAGUAUUUCGGUAUGUAAAGCUCUAUCAGCAGGGAAGAAGUUGACGGUACCUGAGUAAGAAGCCCCGGCUAACUACGUGCCAGCAGCCGCGGUAAUACGUAGGGGGCAAGCGUUAUCCGGAUUUACUGGGUGUAAAGGGAGCGUAGACGGCAGUGCAAGUCUGAAGUGAAAGCCCCGGGCUUAACCCGGGAAUUGCUUUGGAAACUGUACGGCUGGAGUGCUGGAGAGGUAAGCGGAAUUCCUAGUGUAGCGGUGAAAUGCGUAGUUAUUAGGAGGAACACCAGUGGCGAAGGCGGCUUACUGGACAGUAACUGACGUUGAGGCUCGAAAGCGUGGGGAGCAAACAGGAUUAGAUACCCUUGUAU